UCACCUCUGCAGGCUGGCUGGCCCCAGGCAGAGCUGGGCCAAUAUCUCUUCGAAGGGCUCACCCUCCAGCAUGACUAGGAGC
rnacentral:pre_miRNA from 1 species